rnacentral:rRNA from 1 species
AUCGAACGCUGGCGACAGGCCUAACACAUGCAAGUCGAGCGGGGUUUUCGGACCUAGCGGCGGACGGGUGAGUAAUGCGUAGGAAGCUACCCGAUAGAGGGGGAUACCAGUUGGAAACGACUGUUAAUACCGCAUAAUGUCUACGGACCAAAGUGUGGGACCUUCGGGCCACAUGCUAUCGGAUGUGCCUACGUGGGAUUAGCUAGUUGGUGAGGUAAUGGCUCACCAAGGGGACGAUCCCUAGCUGGUUUGAGAGGAUGAUCAGCCACACUGGAACUGGGACACGGUCCAGACUCCUACGGGGGGCAGCAGUGGGGAAUAUUGGACAAUGGGCGCAAGCCUGAUCCAGCCAUGCCGCGUGUGUGAAGAAGGCCUUCGGGUUGUAAAGCACUUUCAGUAAGGAGGAAGCGUUGAGUGUUAAUAGUACUCAGCGUUGACGUUACUUACAGAAGAAGCACCGGCUAACUCUGUGCCAGCCGCCGCCGUAA